rnacentral:rRNA from 1 species
AGAGUUCGAUCAUGGCUCAGGACGAACGCUGGCGGUGCGCCUUAUGCAUGCAAGUUGAGCGAAGCUUUUUUGUAGUUUACUACGAAAAAUGACUGAGCGGCGAACGGGUGAGUAACGCGUGAGCAAUCUACCUUAGUUACUGGGAUAGCCCGAGGAAACUCGGAUUAAUACCGGAUAUUCUUAUUUUUUCACAUGAAGUUUUAAGGAAAGGUCAGCCGAACUAAGGUGAGCUCGCGUUCUAUCAGCUAGUUGGUGGGGUAAAAGCCUACCAAGGCUACGACGGAUAACUGGUCUGAGAGGACGAUCAGCCACACUGGGACUGAGACACGGCCCAGACUCCUACGGGAGGCUGCAGCAGGGAAUAUUGUGCAAUGAGCGAAAGCUUGACACAGCGACACCGCGUGUGGGAUGACGGUUCUAGGAUUGUAAACCACUUUCAGGAGGGAAGAAAAUGACGGUACCUCCGCAAGAAGACCCGGCCAACUAUGUGCCAGCCGCCGCGGUAAUAC